rnacentral:tRNA from 1 species
GGUUGUAGCUCAGUGGUAGAGCGCUUGCCUAGCAUCUGGGAGGCACUGGUUUCAAUUCUCAGAACCA